ensembl:lncRNA
GCCUUUCUUCCUCAUCGUCUGUGUCCAGGGUCACUCUGGAGCUGGCCCUCUGCCUUUCUCGCUGAUCUCCAGAGUCCCUCCAGAUCUCUACUUGGCUGGAGCCCUUUGGGAUGCUGGAGAAACUUAAAGAACCGGCUCCGCUGGUGGAUUCUCAGCCUGUAGAGGGGAGAAACAAGGACUGAAGAAGGAUGUGCUCCUCUUUUAAAGAGACUCUCCAGAGGUUGUCUAUGAUACUUCUCCUUACAUCCCAUUGGCCGGAAUGUAGUCACAUGGUCCCAGCAGAUUUCGAGGGAGGAGUUCUCUAUAUUUCCGGUGGCCGGGUAACCAACCAGCUAAAUAUCAAGGGUUCUGUUACAAAGGAAGAAGUGGGAACGUGCUGCGGGGGGCUGUUGGCGUGGUUGAAGAGGUGGUUUGGCCUGGAAAGUCUGGCCUUGCAAAGCCAGAGGACUUUCUCUCUGCUCCCAUUUUCUGCCCUCAUUUGUGGAGUGACAGACUGCAGCCCAGCCCACAUGCAGGCGCCCACAGUGACCAGAAAGCAUGGGUGCUGGGAGGCAGACGGCCACAGGUUCAAAUAGGUCUAUAGGCCUCUCUUUCCCUCCUUUUAUGAAGUGAGAAAAGCAAUACCCAUUGUGUCCAGUUAUGGCGAGUACUUCGCUCCUUGGAAAUCCCUGGGACAGACUUGUGG